GUUGUUGAUCCCUGUUAUGAAUUUGAAAAGCCUCUCGGCCAAUGUUGCCAAGCCAAACCAAAAAAAAUUGCUUGUAAUUGCAUUUGAAGAAUCCAACGCAAAAUGACCACCCGCGUCGCUGCUGUAGUGAUGACUGAUGAAAAUUUCAAAAGUUAGGAAGAUUGAAACGUGGAAAAAAAUCGAUCCACUUCAAAAUGGAUAUUGAACCGAGGCGGUUUUGUAUCGUGCCGAGAUGUCAUUCUACUGGAAAUAAGUUGUUUCGAGUUCCCAAGCCCUGUAGUAAAGUAUUUAAACGAUGGCAAAAAAAUCUGACAAUAACAGGUUAUGGUGAUGAAUUUAUUUGUGAAAAACAUUUCAAGUCCGAUGAUUUUGUCGAAAAUACGAGGAGAAAAUUGAAACUAUCCGCAAUGCCUACAUUAAAGCUGCCUUCCGCUUCUAAAAAGAUAACGGUACAGCCAGGAUGUUGCAUAACAGAUUGUACUUCCAAGCGUGUCGGGUGUAUGGAAAAAUUUCCUCAGAAAAAGACAUCGUCGUUCCGGAAAUGGUUAACACUUCUAGGAAUCACAUCGGAAGAAGUAUUGAAAAAUUCUAUAUAUAUUUGUCGGAAGCAUUUUUCAUUGACUGAUUACGUAACUGUACGAUAUCGUUAUUUGAAGAUAAACGCUAUUUCCACUAAAAAUUUGUGAGAGAUAUUAAGACACCAUCUUUGUACCGAAGGGAAGUUCGAUAUAUGCCUACAACAAUACAAAUAGAUCAUAAUUAUUGUAAGGAAGAUUUAAAACCUAGAAGCAAUCGUUUCUGUUCUGUACCAGGAUGUACAGUGAAAAGCUCAAAAGGAAUCUUUCUACACAAAUUUCCGGAAAACGAAAAAUUUUCAAAAGCCUGGACAGUUGCUAUCAAAGCAAUGCAUCAUCCUACCAAAAAUUCUUAUGUUUGCAACCAGCACUUUCACACGAGUGAUUAUAUUCCAGGUAUUACAUUUCGAAAUAAAAACAUUGAAUUAACUAAUUCAGUCAUCCUAUAGGACGUAAGAUACUAAAGAAUUCAGCUGUACCCAGUUGCAAAUUACCUUUAACCUCAUUAGAAAAAAACAAAGGGGAAUUAUUGUGUUUUUGAAGAGAAAUCAGUUAGCGCAAAAGAGGCUGAAGCGUUGAAAAUUUUAUCAGCGCUUCCAUUUAGUAUCCAUAGAUUAAACAGUCUGCGUGUUGAAGGAAACAAAAACGAGGGCAAUAUAUCGGCCGAUGUCAAUAAAGCCAUUCAAGAACUGCAACGUAAGAGAGAAACCAUUCUUAGUGACUUGUUACUAACAGACAAAGAUAUAAAUAUUUGGACGGGGAUACCAUCGUUGUGUUUAUUGGAAGUCGUAUGUACAACGGUCAGUAAUGUUGAAGAAAAUGUUUACAACGGAAAAUUCAAAAUGCAUGCCACUGAUCGGGUUAUUCUUACACUGUCUAAGUUGAAGCAAAAUAUAUCCUUUGCGGCUUUAGCAACUCUUUUCCGUAUUUCUCAAUCAACAGCAUCAGAUUACUUUUCACACACAAUCCAGAUACUAUCAGAAGUUUUCAAUUCUAUUAUCUAUUGGCCGACAAUGGAAGAGAUUCGUCGGAACAUGCCACAUUGCUUCAAAGAAAAGUUUCGCAACGUUCGGUGUAUACUGGAUUGCACUGAGGUGGGUAUUGGAUGCCCUAACUGUCUUAACUGUAGAAUCGCCUGUUAUUCGAAUUAUAAACAUAAGCGUACCGCAAAAAUUCUCAUAGGAAUUACACCAGCUGGAAUGAUAAGUUUCUGUUGUCGUGCAUAUU